rnacentral:rRNA from 1 species
UGGGGAAUAUUGGACAAUGGGCGCAAGCCUGAUCCAGCAAUGCCGCGUGUGUGAAGAAGGCCUUCGGGUUGUAAAGCACUUUUAUCAGGAGCGAAACGCUGUCGGCUAAUACCCGGCGGAACUGACGGUACCUGAGGAAUAAGCACCGGCUAACUUCGUGCCAGCAGCCGCGGUAAUACGAAGGGUGCAAGCGUUAAUCGGAAUUACUGGGCGUAAAGCGUGCGUAGGCGGUUUCUUAAGUCUGCUGUGAAAUCCCCGGGCUCAACCUGGGAAUGGCAGUGGAUACUGGGAGGCUAGAGUGUGUCAGAGGGUGGUGGAAUUCCCGGUGUAGCGGUGAAAUGCGUAGAGAUCGGGAGGAACAUCAGUGGCGAAGGCGGCCACCUGGGACAACACUGACGCUGAGGCACGAAAGCGUGGGGAGCAAACAGGAUUAGAUACCCUGGUAGUCCACGCCCUAAACGAUGCGAACUGGAUGUUGGUCUCAACUCGGAGAUCAGUGUCGAAGCUAACGCGUUAAGUUCGCCGCCU